rnacentral:tRNA from 1 species
GCACCCGUAGCUCAAUGGAUAGAGCGUCUGACUACGGAUCAGAAGGUUGGGGGUUCGAAUCCUCCCGGGUGCG